GCUGCCCAGAACCGCACGCAGUCGCUUCUCUCAUCUGAGAACAUUUUCCCCUUCUCUGAAUUGUGCAAGCUCAGACUGGGAGUGACAGAAGCCAGCCCCGUAGCUCUGCCGACCUACUUCCUGGCUGGCCCUGCAGCCAGCAGCCGGCGCAGCAUUCAUUUAACCAGCUUUUCAAGGUCAGGCCUUUCCAAUGCGGAUGCUUACUUUUGCUUGACACAAAGCCAGGUCCAGAGAAAGAGAAGUUCAGAAAAGGAGUUGGGGAAGGAGACAGAAAGUGGACGGUAAGAGUGAAGAAGGGAGCAGAGAAACACCAAGGAACAAAUGGGCAAAUGGGACACAAGGUCAUGAGGAAAACCACAGAGAGAACGGUUUAAGUCUUAAUAUGGUAAGGACUGACAGUUUGAGAUGGGAGAUGGAGACAAGAGACUCUUGGCUGCUCACAGGCCACUGGCCCGGUCUACUUAGCAGUGACAAGAGACCCUCCCUGAUUCAAAUAA
rnacentral:lncRNA from 1 species